CGGACGGGUGAGUAACGCGUGGGCAACCUGCCUCGCACUGGGGGAUAACACUUAGAAAUAGGUGCUAACACCGCAUAGCGGGCGGGGGCGCAUGCCCCUGCCCUGAAAACCCAGGUGGUGCGAGAUGGGCCCGCGUCUGAUUAGCUGGUUGGCAGGGUAACGGCCUACCAAGGCGACGAUCAGUAGCCGGCCUGAGAGGGUGGACGGCCACAUUGGGACUGAGACACGGCCCAGACUCCUACGGAAGGCAGCAG
rnacentral:rRNA from 1 species